UUUAUAAUAAAUCAAAGCUUGAUAAGAAAUAAUAUUUAGAAAAUUUUAACAGCAAUAAUAUUAUGUUUUAAUUGAACAACUCAAUAAAUUGAUAUCGUUGUAUCCCUAUAAUCAAACCAAUGCCAGUUAGGCAGUUCCCGCUUUUCGCUCCUUUUUCAAAAUGCAAAAUAUCGCUUGUCGUCUGCCACGCUGUUUUUGGAUGUCGCUGAGAAGCGCCCUAAGCCACCAGUCUCGGCUACCAGUGGUUUGCUGAGUAUCCGUGAUUUUUUGGUGGGGGAGGUCGUAAGCUCUUAUUGCACUUAUUACACAGUUUACAUUAUGGUUGCCAGAUCCCAGCGACAGGUCACCAGUCUUUAUUGACACGGCGGGUCUAACUUGUGACGCCUUUUUGGUUGAUAAUACUCGGACACCAAAUGGUAUCUUUCUGGUUACCCACUGAUUCCUAAGACAGGAGACUAAUAAAAGGCUAAGAGGCCAGUACACUGCAGUAAUUUGAAAAAAAUGGGGCAAAUUCUCCUCAACUUCCACUUACUUUACGGUAACCGCUUUUCUCUUUAUUGAAUAUUUGACAAAAAUGGCCUUUUUGGCAAAUGUUCAACCAAGAGGAAGUACACUUCACUUCAGAUUACUUUUCUUCAAAGAGUAUUAAGCCUGCAGAUCCAUUUAUCUAAGCGAGAGGACCCGAUUGUGCUUGAGCAUCACUAACUAGGAAACUGGCGUUUCUCUUGUUAGAAUAUCAUAUGGGGAUCCCUGAGUAUUAAUAGUAGUGCCCAGAAGAUGUUUUUGCAAGAGGAAUUGCUGACAAUAAUAACCUAGUUUUCAUCAUGAAUUCAGUCUUAGCAGAAACAAAACCGAGCUCAUCAUGUAUACUACAAACUAAAUGUAAGUUAUUAGUCAAUGAAGAAACGCCUGGAUGAACGGUUUACUCAGAUGUCGAUCGAAAAAGAUAAUGAGAGAAUUGGAAGAAGUUGAUCAAUACGAUGUUAGAAAGUCUAUGGUGAGUGUAUAUCCUUGUUUUAUUCAUUUUGUUUUUAUUAAAAUCAUGGUUAAUUUGACAUACCGAACCAUGAGUUCCUUAUUACAUUAGGACACCCGGCUGAGUUGCAAGUGGGACACCAGAGAGCCACCAGUGGCGACCAUGAGUAUAUCAAGCUGGGACACCAAUGCCAGUGUCUCAGCGGAGGCCAGGUUGGCGUCCCUAGUGAAACACCAGUCGGCCGCCAAAAACUGUUGUUUCGGUGGUUGUCCCUAGUGUAAUAAUAACUAUUACCCCCGAUCCGCUAGGCCACUUCGUCGAUAGAGUGGUAGAGUGGACAUUACUGUCCUAACUUAGCCUUUUCAUCAAAUAAAUAAGUACUUCUAUGCUUCGUGUCCCUCUGGUGACCCAGCCUGUUGUCCUAAUUCAAUACAUACCUAAAAUGUUAUAACUAAUUGUAGUUCAACUUCGUUUAUUUGGAAUAAAUAAAACUUGUCAAGGACAAUGAAUCUCAAGUUUUGAAAGAUUAAACACUAAUUUGUGUUUAUAAUAAUAUUAUAACACGAUAAUGUAUUAAAAUAUUGCAUAUAUCUCUUAUCUUGAAUUACAUAGAAGCAGUUCAUUUCAAAAGUUAUACAAAUUGAUACAAAAUUUGAUUAUUUUAUUCAUUAUUUUCCUGAAAAAUUGAAUUAUUCUAUUCUGGAAGUAAUUUAGCCACUUGAGCGGCUUUGCCGUUUUCAAAAUUAAUAGGAUGCUGUAUUACAAAUUUCUGAUGUUAAAUGUGUUUUUUCACAUUAGUUUAGUAAUUUCAAUAUUUUCAUGAUUUAUAAAAUUUAAUUUUAUUUGUUGUAGACUAAUCUCUUUAUAAUCGAUGUAUUAUCUUAUUUAACAUAUUUUUGAACUAAAAGCUAUUCUAAAUCGUGUGAAAUUGAAUACCCAAUGUGAUGUUGGGUCUUAUUCAAAUACUGAAGAAUAAUAGUUUGGGAAUCUCCUGUGAGGGUAUUCUGUCCUUGAUAAUUUCAAUAAAUGUUUGUAAAAAUGAAUUAUUCAAUUGAUCAUUUUGAAAUAUUAAAUAUUUAAAUUGACAACGAAAUGACAUUGACAUAUACAACAAUGAAAUAUACACAUAUGACAAGUGACAUUGUAGAGCAUUGUGGCUCAACGAAAUUAUAAGGAAUGUUAGAUAAAAAUGGGUUACAGGAAAUAUUGAGUUUCGCCUAAAAAUUGUCUUUGAAAGAGACAAUUCUACCAGAUGAAAACUAAUUUGAUAUCGCUGUUAAUGAAUUUUUUUCCAUUAUGAAAUAUUUUUCCCCGAAAAUUGUAUGUGUCAUGACAUGAAUAAUCCAUUAUCAAUAUGAUAUACGACAUAUUUAAUGUCUAGAUCUGGGAAUACCUCCAUCGUUCCAUAAAACAAUAAAAUAAUGAUUUUUUUUCUUGGGAUUCUGAUUAAUUUAAUUCAAUAUAUUUUCAAGAUAAUGAGAUCUUUUGUGACAUUCUAUUCAAUCCAAAAAAAAAUCGCAAUUGAUAGCCAAAAAAGAUAUCAAGCUCUGACCAAGUACUUAAAAAUGUACUUUGUGAUUAGAAAACAUCGAAACACAUCCUUUAACUUUGGUACCUACUUUGCCUUCUAGAAAACAAUGAUCACAAUUUAAAAUUGAUUUAAAAAAAAAACUAUAUUUAGAUAAUGUGAUGGGAGAGGAGCUCUCAUGUUUCUUCUUUGCUCACACCAUUUUUUUCAAGUGUGAUUCAAUAAACACAAAUUUCUCAAAUUAUUUACGAAAAGAUCAAAUCUUAGUUCGUGAAUCAAAGUUAAUGGAGAAGAAUUGAUCAAUGAUCUAAAUAGCUAAAUAUUGCAUUUAUCAUAAAUAUUGUAGAGCGUCAAAUGGAAUAAGAUUUUUU
rnacentral:lncRNA from 1 species